CUGGUCCUAUGGCGGGUUCAUGAGCCUGAUGGCCCUGACCGAGCCGAAGAUGGGGCUGGCGGCGGCCAUCGCCGGGGCGCCGCCGACGGAAUGGA
rnacentral:tRNA from 1 species